AAUGUUUUUAAAAAAACAAAACAAAGUUAGUACACAUGCCAUAUUAAAAAUCAGAAUCUGACAUUAUCUCCAUGAGAGAAACUGAUUUUGGGCAUGCAGAUGCCUUGUCACAGCAGCGA